GCAGCGCACUUCAUUUCCAGAAUGUUCACUAUCUCUAUUCUUCAAUCUUCACUCUAGAGUGGGUUCAACACAAAGCCCAGACACUCUCAGCGAUGAUCCUAACAAUUCGUGAGAUGAUCCUAUGGCUGUACCUCAUAUCUUAGCACUAUUAUCUAAAGUUGAAAAAAAAAAAAUCAACAUAGUGCUGUGGUAGUAACACCUCAAGAUCCCUUGAAGUCAAUUCUGCAAUUGUAAAGUCACAUGUAAUCAUUUUCUUAUAAAAAUAUUACUCAAAUUUAAUAUAUAUUUAAGUACCAUUUAUGAUACACUACCAUAGAUAACAUAGUUCAUGCUAUUAUUCUACUCAGUAUUUAAGUAUUAGCUAUGUGUCAUGCAGAACAGAGUAAUAUCCCUUUAUAGUUUCUUUUAAAGAUACUGCCAAAUUCUGAUUUUAUAUCCAGAAUAUUUCCCAAGUUAUCUAUGCUGAAGAACACAGUAUGCCUACAGAACACUGAGUAAUAGUAGGAUGUAUUGAUCUUUUUAUUUAUCACACAUGUAUUUUGAAAUUUAAGUUGAUGUAAACUCGGCACAAUUUGUUUUUCCAAGUUUCUACUUUUAAAUUCACAGUACACACUAUUAUAAACUGGGUAGCUACUAUACAAAUGGUUUCUCAUCUCUAAAAAAUGUAAUUGAAUAUACCACUAUAUUGGUUGUUGACUUUCUUUUCUUUCACAGUAUAAUAUACUAUUAUUGACUUGAUGACA